CCCACAGAGACUUUUCUUCUGAAUCUCAAAAGUCCUUUAAUUUCUCAGCUGCUGAUGGAACAGAAAAGGGAAGAAAGGACAUGAAUGAUACCAAUUAGGUGGCAUCCCCACUGAAUGAUCCAAGCACCAGGCAAAGGCUGCCCAAAUGAUUCACCACACAGGCAGCAGACGCGCAGAGGUCUCUACCUGUAGACUGAAUACACAGCAAAUGAAAACAAGCUGCAAAGUCAGAACACAUCACUGCAAAAUACUUCAGCAGGGAUCUCCAAGGAGCAAAGGCAUUCUCCUCCCUAAACAUAACUAUUAAUAUUACACUCAAGGAAACAAAUAUU